rnacentral:misc_RNA from 1 species
CAACCAAUCUUUGCCUUCUCUCUCUGAUGGUUUCACGAACACCCUGCGUGGUGCAACCUAACGGCCAAGCUCAGCCGCGCUACCGCCUGCACCGCCGACCGACAACGCACAGGACGCGGCGGCGGUGGCGUCGGCUGCAGCG